rnacentral:lncRNA from 1 species
UGAUACUCGGGAGUCGACUCGAGUCUCAGACAUUGGUUCAAACAGACUCCUUAACUUAUCCAAAAAUUAUGAACCAAGUCUUGGGACACUUAGACAGGAUUUUCACUGAAACACUCAAUUGAAUUCAUUAGUAAUCAAAAGAUAUACUCCAAUGCUUUGAGCUCAUCAAAAUCAAAUGGGGUUUUAAUCAAUCACUCCACAAU